CGCCGCGGGGAUCGGGCGCGGGAUCAUGGCGCUGGCAUUGCCCGAGCCGCCGUGGCCGGCCAGCCUGUCACCGCUGAAGGCCGUGGACGAUCUGCUGCGCUGUGGGAUUUGCUUCGAUUACUUCAGCAUCGCAGUGAUCAUCCCGCAAUGCUCCCAUAACUAUUGCUCCCUGUGCAUACGCAAGUUUUUGUCCUACAAAACUCAGUGUCCAACGUGCUGUGUGGCUGUCUCAGAGUCUGACCUGAAAAACAACCGGGCCUUAGAUGAGCUGGUAAAGAGCUUCAGUUCUGCAAGGCAACAGCUGGUCCAGUUGGUCUUGGAUACACCACUGAUUUCAUCUCCAUUGGCUUGUAGUAGGCGUGCAAUUGGCAAAAGCCACGCCAAGACUUCCGCGUCUUCGCCAGUUGUAAAAGAAGAGGUGCCAGUGAUUGACAGUUUGUUGAAAAAGGAGAAUGUUUGUACCCUGACAAAGACAGAUGGUCUGGCAGGAACAGAUUGGAAAGUUUGCAAAACCGAGGAACAUCGUAACAUCAGCAGCAGUUCUCCAGAGGCUGCUAGCAGAGACAAUAAAGCAGGACCACGAGGGAGUCCUGAAGGCACCAACAGUGGUGAGAAGCCUUCUACAUCUGUGGUAAAAAUAGUCAACAAAGUGGACUGCCCUGUUUGUGGAGUUGCUAUUCCAGAGGCAUACAUCAACAAACACCUGGAUAGCUGCCUGAGCAGAGAGGAGAAGAAGGACCGCCUCAGGAGUUCAGCUCACAAAAGGAAGCCUAUGCCUAAAGUUGUUUACAACUUGCUCUCUGAUCGUGACUUGAAGAGGAAGCUGAAGGAGCAAGGACUGUCUUCCCGUGGGAGCCGUCAGCAGCUCGUUAAAAGGCACCAAGAAUUUGUGCACAUGUAUAAUGCUCAGUGUGAUUCUCUAAAUCCCAAAUCGGUUGCAGAGAUUGUUAAAGAGCUGGAGAAGAAUGAGAAGAUUCGGGUUCAGCUUGAACUGAAUAAAAGUGGUGAAAACAGCCUGACCUUUACAAAGGACCAGACAGAGGAGGAAAUAGAUGAGAUUCACACCAGUUAUCGAAACAAACACAGAAGCGAAUUUCAAUUUUUAGUGGAUCAAGUAAAAAAUCGGUGGGAGAAAAGUGGUAAGAGGAAAACAGAAAGCACACAAAAGAAAAAAGAAGGCACUUUCAUAGGAUUACCAGCAGGCACAGGGGAAGAUCCUGAAGAGCAUCACUCAGCUGCGGCCCUUGGAGAAGCCCAGGUUCUCGAAGCAGGAACUCCUGAUGGCAAAAGAAGUGACCCUCGUUCCCCAGAGGAAGGGCAGGGCUCGGUCUCUCUUGCAUUCUCAGAGUCAUCUGGAUCAUCGAGCAGGGAGCCAAACGCUAAAAUCUCCCUGCUUCUUUUAAUGUAACUGGAGCAUCAGGGCAGGAUUCAGAAGUAUGAUAACUCAUUCCCUGGGAAUCCAGCUUGUGUGCCGAAGAUGAAUUCUUGACAGAGUGCAAAUUUUGGGAGUAAAAAAUAAACCUGCUAGACUUCCCAACUUUCCCUGUCACCAUCCUUUUUACAGUGUGCUCUCCUGUGUUUUUGCUUUGAGUAUUUCAUGUCAUCUUUAAUAGUGCAGUAAGAAAUGCCUGGGCAUGCUGGGGUUCCCUGAUGUUCCCUCCAAGCACCCACGUGUGGUGCUGGGGUUUGGGCUGCUCUCACUCCUCCAGGUGCUGUGCGUGGUGGGAUUGGUAACUGGUGCAGGGAUGAAACGUUGUUCCCUCUACAUGUAGUCACUGCUUUUAAUUUUAGUUGCCUUUAUCUCCAAAUUAAAGCUGCUCUGUUGAGUAAUGCUUGUAAUUAGAUAAAUUUAUUCAGCAGUUCAUAAAAAUUCCUCGGGAACCACAGAUGAGUUUCUAAAAUUGCACACACAGCUUCAAAGUCCGUUUUGUUUCGGAAUGAUGUUCUGCAUAUGGCAGCAGUGCUUUGUGUGUGUUUUCCCUUUUUUGAACUCCUCUGUGCCAGUGGUGUUUUUCUCCUAUCUGUGGUGCUGCAGUCACUGUGCUGCUCCUUUGGCCCUGACGAGGAAUGGGAGCUGGGGGGAGACUGACUGGGAAAGGGAGAAGAAAUCCUGCCCACCAUUUAUUCAUUUUCUCAAAAAAAGGAACCUUCUGGGCUUUGGUGGAAAUGAUUCCCCAUUGCUGGUGCUGUGUGUAAGGUCUGUCUCAUUUACAAGCUCUGCUGCCAGAAUUAAUCACUUUGUUUAGAGACCUUUGGCGUGAGCAUUGUUAAAAUAAUUGACGUGUGUUCUGCUUUUCCCUUCAGCUCCAGUUCAGACAUCUUGAGAGAUCUGGAAGCUGAGAUUUGUUCGGUGCCCUCUGACAGGUGAGGAGGUGGCAGCAGUGAUGUGGUGUGUUUGGACCUCAGCUUCUGUGCCUGCAGUUCCCAAAGCAGCCUUCCCAGUGCUUAGCGUCAGGCUGAGGUUGAGCAGAGCAGCUCUGCCUGCAGCACAUCUCAAGGUGUUGGAAAAGUUGAACUGCAGCAUGCUGUGCCUUUUGGAGAUGGUGAUCUGCUGAGCCUUAAUUUCCAUGAUAGAUCUAAUAAAGAAGCAAUAAAUAUUCA